rnacentral:tRNA from 1 species
GGCUCCAUAGUGUAGUGGUUAGCACAUCUGCUUUACAUGCAGAAGGUUCUGGGUUCGCACCCAAGGUAGAACCA